GCAGUCGAACGGAGAUAAGAAAWUAGUUUACUAAUUUCUUAUCUUAGUGGCGGACGGGUGAGUAACGCGUGGGUAACCUACCCUAAAUCCCGGGACAACAGCUGGAAACGGCUGCUAAUACCGGAUACUCUCUUAAAGCGGCAUCGCUUUAAGAGGAAAGGUGGCCUCUUCUAUGCUACCGAUAAAGGAUGGAUCCGCGUCUGAUUAGCUAGUUGGUAAGGUAACGGCUUACCAAGGCGACGAUCAGUAGCCGGCCUGAGAGGGUGACCGGCCACACUGGGACUGAGACACGGCCCAGACUCCUACGGGAGGCAGCAGUGGGGAAUCUUCCGCAAUGGGCGAAAGCCUGACGGAGCAACGCCGCGUGAAUGAAGAAGGCCUUCGGGUCGUAAAGUUCUGUUGAAAGGGAAGAAGUCUCUCUAUGUGAACAAUGCAGAGAGGUGACGGUACCUUUUGAGGAAGCUCCGGCUAACUACGUGCCAGCAGCCGCGGUAAUACGUAGGGAGCAAGCGUUGUCCGGAAUUACUGGGCGUAAAGGGCGCGUAGGCGGGAUAUUAAGUUAGGUGUGAAAACUCCGGGCUCAACUUGGAGAGUGCACAUAAAACUGGUAUUCUUGAGGACAGGAGAGGAAAGUGGAAUUCCUAGUGUAGCGGUGAAAUGCGUAGAUAUUAGGAGGAACACCAGUGGCGAAGGCGACUUUCUGGACUGUAACUGACGCUGAGGCGCGAAAGCGUGGGGAGUGAACGGGAUUAGAUACCCCGGUAAUCCACGCUGUAAACGAUGGGUACUAGGUGUAGGAGGUAUCGACCCCUUCUGUGCCGGA
rnacentral:rRNA from 1 species